rnacentral:lncRNA from 1 species
AAGGUUCCCGUCUUCAGUGCAGGUUGCAGGCGGGAACCGGCCUCGUCCCAGCCCUGGGCCUGGGAGAGAGAAGGAGGCCGAAGAAAACCAACUUCGGCAACCUCCGGAGACAGGACGUUUAAAAAAGGCUAACUUGGCUGGGCGCUGAGGCUCACGCCUGUAAUCCCAGCACUUUGGGAGGCCGAGGCAGGAGGAUCACUUGAGCUCAGGAACCAGCCUGGGCAACAUGGCGAGACCCCAUGUCUACAAAAAAAAAAAAAAAAAAAUUAGCCAGUCAUGGUGGUGCGCGCCUGCAGUCCCAGCUACCCCGGAGGCCGACGCGGGAGGAUCGCUGGAGCCGAAAGGUCGAGGCUGCCGUGAGCCGAGGUUGCACCACUGCACUCCAGCCUGGGCGACAGCGCAAGACCCUGUCUAAAAAUAAAUUUAAAAAAAAUUGCGAGGCCUUCAUUCUAUGCUAGUACUGUACUAGGUGCUAAUUAUUAAGUAAAACCGACUGAACUCUUGCCCUCAUGGAGCUUACAGUUCAGUGGAGAAGACAUUACCUAAAGCAGUAUGACUAAAUAUAUAAUGACAUAUUGUAAUAACUUACAUAACAGUACAAUGAGAGGGUGGGGAGGGAUUAUUUAUGCUUUAAGAAGUCGGGAAUCCUGGAACGGAAUGACAUUAGACUGAGACACGGAAGAGCCGCAGGAUCUAUUGCUGGGGAAGAGCAUUCCAGACAGGGAGGAACUCGUGCCGAAUGAUCCCGCUGUGGACAGGGAAUUUAAUCUGAGCUUCGGUUUCCUCUUCUGUCAAAUGUCAUGCAAGAGUUACUUUCAGCCGUGGUCCAGGCACUGUGAAAAAUGCAGAAGCCACACUAGGUGCCCUCUCUCAGGAUUCCCAACCACCUUUACCAAGCAGAGAUGGUAUUCAUCCCACAUUUUUAAUGCUAGAUAUGCUCCCGCCCGGUGCUUCUCUAAUAAUGUUUUUUAAAAGGUUGAGAGCAGAAUUUUAAUAGGCAAAAGAAAGAGAAGAGCUCUCUGCUGCAGACAGGAGUCCUGGAGAAAUGGGUUGCCCUCUUUUUUCUUUUUCUUUUUUUGAGACAGUCUCUCACUGUCACCCAGGCUGGAAUUCAGUGGCGCAUUCGUACCUCGCUGCAGCCUCAACCUCCUAGGCUCAAUCGAUCCUCCCACCUCAGCCUCCCGAGUAGCUGGGACUAUAGAUAUUUAACCAUUUUUCUAUUGAGAUUUGGUCUUCUCCACCACCCACCACAGAUUUUUGUAAUUAGAGGUCAUUUUUCCAAACAAAUGAUUCUUAAGGUCCUGCUGUCUCUGAAUAUUAUUUUUAUAGAACAAGCAUAAGUAUAAUUGGAUCAAUCAUCUAACCUUUCAGAUCCUCAACUUAGUCUUCCAUUAAUGAGAGGAUUAAAUCCAUUAGUUAAAUGUUCUCUAAGAAUCAGUGUGUCUCCAACUUCAGUGUACAAACAGCGGGUCACCCAGGGAUCGCAGUGGGACGCAGACGCUGAUUCCGCAGUUGUGGACUUGGUGGAGGUGGGCGCUGUCUCAGUCCAUCUGGGCCGCUAUACAGAGUGCCACAGACAGAGUGGCUUACGGACAACAGAUGCUCAUUUCUCACUCUCUGGAGACUGGAAGCCCAAGAUCAAGGUGGCAGAAAAUGCCGUGUCUGAAGAGGAACUGUUUCCUUGUUCACAGCCUCUUCUCACUGUGUCCUUGCAGAAGGGCUGAGGGAGCUCUCCAGGGGCCUCCUUCAUAAGGGCACUCAUGCCAUCGUGGGACUCCACUCUCACGACCUCAUCACCACCCAAAGACCAUCACUUUGGGGGUUAGGAUUUAACAUGUGCACUUUGGGGGGACACACACAUUCAGUCCACAGCAGCUCCAAUAUGUUGCAUUUCUAAUUAGCUCACAGGCAAUGCUGAUGAUACUGGUCCAGGGACCACACUUCGAGUAGCAACAAACCAGAUAGCCACAAAGAGGAAUUAAUAGAUGUAGCAUUAAGGAAGAAAGAUUCCUUCCAGUGCCAAGGAAACUCAUCACAGUACCUCCAAUACCGUGUCAUCCUGGAGGGACCACAAGACCCUGGAUAGUUGGCCCAGGACAGAAUACUGCUGGGGGUUUGGAGGGUGGCAGUUAAAAAGCCAAGAUCUGUUUACCUGUUAAAAUAUAUAUUCUUGCCCUCUCCCUCUCCCUCUCCCUCUCCCUCUCCCCACGGUCUCCCUCUCCCUCUCUUUCCAUGGUCUCCCUCUGAUGCCUAGCCGAAGCUGGACUGUACUGCUGCCAUCUCGGCUCACUGCAACCCCCCUGCCUGAUUCUCCUGCCUCAGCCUGCCGAGCGCCUGCGAUUGCAGGCACGCACCGCCACGCCUGACUGGUUUUUGUAUUUUUUUGGUGGAGACGGGGUUUCGCUCUGUUGGCCGGGCUGGUCUCCAGCUCCUAGCCGCGAGUGAUCCGCCAGCCUCGGCCUCCCGAGGUGCCGGGAUUGCAGACGGAGUCUCGUUCACUCAGUGCUCAAUGGUGCCCAGGCUGGAGUGCAGUGGCGUGAUCUCGGCUCGCUACAACCACCUCCCAGCCGCCUGCCUUGGCCUCCCAAAGAGCCGAGAUUGCAGCCUCUGCCCGGCCACCACCCCGUCUGGGAAGUGAGGAGCGUCUCUGCUUGGCCGCCCAUCGUCUGCGAUGUGAGGAGCCCCUCUGCCUGGCUGCCCAGUCUGGAAAGUGAGGAGCAUCUCUGCCCGGCCACCAUCCCAUCUAGGAAGUGAGGAGCGCCUCUUCCCCGCCAUCCAGCCCAUCUAGGAAGUGAGGAGCGUCUCUGCCCAGCCGCCCAUCGUCUGAGAUGUGGGGAGCACCUCUGCCCCGCCGCCCCAUCUGGGAUGUGAGGAGCGCCUCUGCCCGGCCGCGACCCCGUCUGGGAGGUGAGGAGCGUCUCUGCCCGGCCGCCCCGUCUGAGAAGUGAGGAGACCCUCUGCCUGGCAACCGCCCCGUCUGAGAAGUGAGGAGCCCCUCCGUCCGGCAGCCACCCAGUCUGGGAAGUGAGGAGCGUCUCCGCCCGGCCAGCCGCCCCGUCAGGGAGGGAGGUGGGGGGUCAGCCCCCCGCCCGGCCAGCCGCCCCUUCUGGGAGGUGAGGGGCGCCUCUGCCCGGCCGCCCCUACUGGGAAGUGAGGAGCCCCUCUGGCCGGCCACCACCCCGUCUGGGAGGUGUACCCAACAGCUCAUUGAGAACGGGCCAUGAUGACAAUGGCGGUUUUGUGGAAUAGAAAGGGGGGAAAUGUGGGGAAAAGAUUGAGAAAUCGGAUGGUUGCCAUGUCUGUGUAGAAAGAAGUAGACAUGGGAGACUUUUCAUUUUGUUCUGUACUAAGA